GUGGGGAAUAUUGCGCAAUGGGGGAAACCCUGACGCAGCGACGCCGUGUGAGGGAAGAAGGCUUUCGGGUCGUAAACCUCUGUCAGAAAGGAAGAACCUCCCAAGUCCGAAUAGGGCUUGGGACUGACGGUACUUUCAAAGGAAGCACCGGCUAACUCCGUGCCAGCAGCCGCGGUAAUACGGAGGGUGCAAGCGUUAAUCGGAAUCACUGGGCGUAAAGCGCGCGUAGGCCGCUUUGUAAGUCGGACGUGAAAGCCCUCGGCUCAACCGGGGAACGGCGUGCGAUACUGCGAGGCUUGAGUCCUGGAGAGGGUGGCGGAAGUCCGGGUGUAGGAGUGAAAUCCGUAGAUAUCCGGAGGAACACAGGUGGCGAAGGCGGCCACCUGGACAGGUACUGACGCUGAGGCGCGAAAGCGUGGGGAGCAAACAGGAUUAGAAACCCGGGUAGUCC
rnacentral:rRNA from 1 species